rnacentral:rRNA from 1 species
AUUGAACGCUGGCGGCAGGCCUAACACAUGCAAGUCGAACGAGUGGCGGACGGGUGAGUGAUGUCUGGGAAACUGCCUGAUGUAGGGGUCUAACUACUGGAACCGGUAGCUACUACCGCAUACCAUCGGAUGUGCCCAGAUGGGAUUAGCUAGUCGGUGGGGUAAAGGCUCACCUAGGCGACGAUGCCUAGCUGGUCUGAGAGGAUGACCAGCCACACUGGAACUGAGACACGGUCCAGACUCCUACGGGAGGCAGCAGUGGGGAAUAUUGGACAAUGGGCGCAAGUCUGAUGCAGCCAUGCCGCGUGUAUGAAGAAGGCCUUCGGGUUGUAAAGUACUUUCAGCGGGGAGGCGUUACCCGAAGAAGAAGCAACGGCUAACUCCGUGCCAGCAGCCGCGGUAAUUC